AAAAGAAAGGAGAACGAAGAGUUGGCUGCCUUUUCUGCUCAUUCUCUGGUAACUCUUCCUGCUCUCUAGAUCUGAAGUGAGAGGCGACCUAGGGUUUUUUGUCAUGCGAUCACCACAUCACUUCAUCAUCCCCAGAAAAUUCCAGCAACUGGCGACUUAGGGAUGGCGACUAACAAAAAACCAGUUGUGGGUUCUUCGUGUUAUAUGAUACUAAGCGAUUAGGGACUCUGAGACGACUGAGGAAAAAAAAAAGGUGAGAAAGCAGCGAGCGAGAGAAAAAUACCGACGACGACAACAACUUGGAGUUCAUGUUAGAAAGAUGGAAACAUCAUGAAGGCAAGGAGAUUGAAGUAUCACAGGAAUUUACGGUUUUGAUAGCAUAAAUUAUUUUCAGGACAGCUUUUGGAAGCAGAUCUUAGAAGGAGAAAAAAUAUUUACUAUGUUCACAAGGUUGGGUGUAAUGUAAUCAACGCCAGAAAUCAUUAUAAAAUUUAAGCACCUUAUUUGAUAAGGCAAAGCUUCCUCUUCGUAAUUUCUGUAAUUUGUGGCUACUUAGUUUUAUACUUUUGCUUCUCUAUUAAUUUUACAAUACCAUUUGUUGU